GAUGAACGCUGGCGGCGUGCCUAAUACAUGCAAGUCGAGCGAACAGAUGAGGAGCUUGCUCCUCUGACGUUAGCGGCGGACGGGUGAGUAACACGUGGAUAACCUACCUAUAAGACUGGGAUAACUUCGGGAAACCGGAGCUAAUACCGGAUAAUAUAUUGAACCGCAUGGUUCAAUAGUGAAAGACGGUUUUGCUGUCACUUAUAGAUGGAUCCGCGCCGCGUUAGCUAGUUGGUAAGGUAACGGCUUACCAAGGCAACGAUGCGUAGCCGACCUGAGAGGGUGAUCGGCCACACUGGAACUGAGACACGGUCCAGACUCCUACGGGAGGCAGCAGUAGGGAAUCUUCCGCAAAGGGCGAAAGCCUGACGGAGCAACGCCGCGUGAGUGAUGAAGGUCUUCGGAUCGUAAAACUCUGUUAUUAGGGAAGAACAAAUGUGUAAGUAACUAUGCACGUCUUGACGGUACCUAAUCAGAAAGCCACGGCUAACUACGUG
rnacentral:rRNA from 1 species